AAGGAUUUAAGUUAAACCGUAAACUAUUAACCUUCAAAGUUAAAAACAGAGGAGUUCUAAGCCUUA
rnacentral:tRNA from 1 species